AAUCAGGUUGUGCUGAAAAGGUU
rnacentral:piRNA from 1 species